UGGAAUUCUUAAUAUUUGGCAAGAGAGAAGAACAAAAACCAAGAAUAUUCAAAACCUACGACUCUUCCAUAAUGAAAAAAAUAAAAAUAAAAAAAACACAUCUCUCUUAUAAAAUAACUACAUGAGUUAUUUAGUUGGGAAGUUCUUCUAGCUCACCACAUCUUACAAUAUAACUUGUACAACAAAAUGCAAAUAUGUGAAUUUGGUAUCAGUAAUACAAAAACUCAGAAUCUACAAUGCAUUCGUCUGAAUUAUUUUGUAAUACAGAUGUGGGCACAAUAUUCAUCAAAAUAAAACUAAAGGUUCUAAUCAUGCGGAAAAAAUAUGGAUCUCGUGAUUCAUUUCUAAGGCUAAGUACAUUUCGUUUUCUCCCCACCCUUGGUUCUCCCAGUAACCAAUGGAAAUUUAUCAAGUCCUUUUGAUCACCACAAUUAACCUGCAGUUUUCCCUACUCCCACUUUACAUGACUGUUAGGC
rnacentral:lncRNA from 1 species